rnacentral:lncRNA from 1 species
GUUAAUUGCAUAUAUGUGUGCACAGUGCUCUCUAGGCACUCUGGUGAAUCUGGACUGUUGCAUUGAAAAGAACUCAAGAUUGACUGGGCCAGUAAGAUAAUAGGAGCAUGAACAUAGGAGCUUCACGGGUAGGGCAGGACAUGAUAGAUGGAUAGCUUGAGUUCUGCUCUAAAGAUUCAUAUUUUAUUCAAUGCUGCUUCAUCAUCACCCCUUUCAACUGUGUUCUAAAAAGAAAAAGAGUAGUCCCUGCUUAGCUAUUUCAAAGAUGGGUCACAAACACUUUCUUUCAGGAAAGGGCUAAAAUCUGUGGAUCUGCAGUAGAUAAAAGCAUUUUCCUGCAAAAUAUGAAGCACAGAGUAGGUCAGGGUCACAUUUCAAACAUCCUCAUGCUUAGUGUUUCCUAUAACAGCUGCUUUCAAAUAGGACCUCCUCCCCCACCUUCCUCCAUUGAAUAAAUUCUUGAAAUAUAUCAGAAGUGUAAGAAGGCCCAAGGAAAGUCCAUCUGAUUACUUACUCUACCUUUGUUUUUUUCUUCCAUCAUGCUCUCUCCUUGUGGCAGCAGCUGGAUGAGGACAAGCAGCCUCUCCUACCCCUCUCCGCUUUGCCUGGCUGUGCACUGGCUGCACCAGUGCAGCUGGCAGAUCUCCCAGGUUAAGGUGGAAACAGCAGUGGAGCUGGAUUGUGAGAAAACAGUUUACAUAAGAAAUGGACACUUCAAAGGAAUCUCUGUGAAUGCAGUCACAAGACCUGAGCAUUAUCCGGUGAUGAUAUAGUCUGUGUGGUUGUGUACACUGACAAGUUCCUCACAUUGAAGUGUUCUACCAUGUUAAAUCCAACAAGUGAAAAAGAAAACCAAAGACAACUCAUAAAACUAGGUAAAAUCUUAUGUUUUUCUUUCGGCACGAAUAGCUGCUGUGUGCCAGGUUGCACCUCUGCGACAAAUAAAGCUACAGGAAACAAAAUGCUUCCA